rnacentral:lncRNA from 1 species
AUGAGAGCCGUGUAUACAAAUUGAAAACGAAGCCUUAGGUGGCUUGGGGUGAAGCCCACUUCCAGUUUCCUGCCUGGGGUUUUCCCCCUAUUGCU